GGAGGGUGCUAACGUUGCUCGGAAUUACUGGGCGUAAAGGGAGCGCAGGCGGAUUUGUAAGUCAGGCGUGAAAGCCCAAGGCUCAACCUUGGACGUGCGCUUGAAACUGCGAGUCUAGAGUGCAGCAGAGAGAAGCGGAAUUCCUGGUGUAGCGGUGAAAUGCGUUGAUAUCAGGAGGAACACCUGUAGCGAAGGCGGCUUCUUGGGCUGUUACUGACGCUCAUGCUCGAAAGCGUCGGGGAUCAAACAGGAUUAGAUACCCUGGUAGUCCACGCCCUAAACGAUGAGUACUCGAUGUCGAGGGAGUUAACCCCCCCGGUAUCUAAGCUAACGCGUUAAGUACUCCGCCUGGGGACUACGGCCGCAAGGCUA
rnacentral:rRNA from 1 species